UCUAAUAUGGCAGAUAAGUGCAAUAGAUUUAAGCUCUAUAUAUAAAGAUUUAUAACCCUUUUAUUAGUA
rnacentral:tRNA from 1 species